rnacentral:rRNA from 1 species
GACGUAGGGGCGCGAGCGUUUGUCCGGGAUUUAUUGGGCGUAAAGAGCUCGUAGGCGGCUUGUCGCGUCGACCGUGAAAACUCGCAGCUCAACUGCGAGCCUGCGGUCGAUACGGGCAGGCUAGAGUUCGGGUAGGGGGGAGACUGGAAUUCCUGGUGAGCGGUGAAAUGCGCAGAUAUCAGGAGGAACACCGAUGGCGAAGGGCAGGUCUCUGGGCCGAUACUGGCGUGAGGAGCGAAAGCGUGGGGGAGCGAACAGG